rnacentral:tRNA from 1 species
GGAAGAUGCUGCUCAAGGGGGGCAACUAGUCUUGAAAACUAGAGCAGGGUAAUACCUGGGGGUUCAAUUCCUCCAUCUUCCG